rnacentral:rRNA from 1 species
UAACACGUUGGUACCUGCCCUCUAGUGGGGAAUAAACUGGCCGAAAGGUCGGCUAAUACCGCAUGUGAUCGCAAGAUCAAAGCAGCAAUGCGCUAGAGGAGGGGCCUGCGUCUGAUUAGCUAGUUGGUAGUGUAAUGGACUACCAAGGCGACGAUCAGUAGCUGGUUCGAGAGGAUGACCAGCCACACUGGGACUGAGAUACGGCCCAG